UGGGGAAUAUUGCACAAUGGGCGAAAGCCUGAUGCAGCGACGCCACGUGAGGGAUGACGGCCUUCGGGUUGUAAACCUCUUUCAGUAGGGACGAAGCGCAAGUGACGGUACCUGCAGAAGAAGCACCGGCUAACUACGUGCCAGCAGCCGCGGUAAUACGUAGGGUGCGAGCGUUGUCCGGAAUUACUGGGCGUAAAGAGCUCGUAGGCGGUUUGUCACGUCGUCUGUGAAAUCCUAGGGCUUAACCCUGGACGUGCAGGCGAUACGGGCUGACUUGAGUACUACAGGGGAGACUGGAAUUUCUGGUGUAGCGGUGGAAUGCACAGAUAUCAGGAAGAACACCGAUGGCGAAGGCAGGUCUCUGGGUAAUAACUGACGCUGAGGAGCGAAAGCAUGGGUAGCGAACAGG
rnacentral:rRNA from 1 species